AGAUGCUAGCCGACACAUAGAGUUCCUCCAGCAGUUUGUCUUCAGCUGAAAAUGCCUGUUGUCCUUAGCAGCGAAGGGAUAAUGACAGCGUUUCUCAGUCUGCACAAGAAUUGAGGAUCCUGCUCAAAUUAGAUUCCUGUGUUUCUGAGACCAAGCUGAAUCCCAGCUUCAGCCAAGCUGCAAGCGGUGGGCAGUGGCUUUACCAUUUACAAAUCAGUACGUCAGCACGCCUGGGAUCUGGCCCACUUUCUGACCCUUCUACUGGAUUCCUAAUAGAGAUGACACAAAACCUCUACUGAAAGCUAGAGAGGAAGCUUGGGAGAAAUGGAGAGCUUCCAACUGAAAUAAGAAGCAUUAACAUCUUCUUGCUGUUAUAUAUUAGACAGAUUUUACCACUCUCCCACCUCACCCCUGGAUAAAGGCUGUAACAAUACCUGGAGCUGUAAAGUUCUUGAAAAAUCACCUGAUGCUAUCUCAC